rnacentral:rRNA from 2 species
GAUUGGUGCUUGCAUCAUGAUUUACAUUUGAGUGAGUGGCGAACUGGUGAGUAACACGUGGGAAACCUGCCCAGAAGCGGGGGAUAACACCUGGAAACAGAUGCUAAUACCGCAUAACAACUUGGACCGCAUGGUCCGAGUUUGAAAGAUGGCUUCGGCUAUCACUUUUGGAUGGUCCCGCGGCGUAUUAGCUAGAUGGUGAGGUAACGGCUCACCAUGGCAAUGAUACGUAGCCGACCUGAGAGGGUAAUCGGCCACAUUGGGACUGAGACACGGCCCAAACUCCUACGGGAGGCAGCAGUAGGGAAUCUUCCACAAUGGACGAAAGUCUGAUGGAGCAACGCCGCGUGAGUGAAGAAGGGUUUCGGCUCGUAAAACUCUGUUGUUAAAGAAGAACAUAUCUGAGAGUAACUGUUCAGGUAUUGACGGUAUUUAACCAGAAAGCCACGGCUAACUACGUGCCAGCAGCCGCGGUAAUACGUAGGUGGCAAGCGUUGUCCGGAUUUAUUGGGCGUAAAGCGAGCGCAGGCGGUUUUUUAAGUCUGAUGU